rnacentral:rRNA from 1 species
AUUGAACGCUGGCGGCAGGCCUAACACAUGCAAGUCGAGCGAGCGGCGGACGGGUGAGUAAUGUAUGGGGACUGCCCGAUAGAGGGGGAUAACUACUGGAAACGGUGGCUAAUACCGCAUACUAUCGGAUAACCCAUAUGGGAUUAGCUAGUAGGGGGGGUAAAGGAUCACCUAGGCGACGAUCCCGAGCUGGUAUGAGAGGAUGAUAAGCCACACUGGGACUGGAACACGGCCCAGACGCCUACGGAGGCAGCAGUGGGGAAUAUUGCACAAUGGGCGAAAGCCUGAUGCAGCAAUGCCGCGUGUAUGAAGAAGGCCUUAGGGUUGUAAAGUACUUUCAGCGGGGAGGCGUUACCCGCAGAAGAAGCACCGGCUAACUCCGUGCCAGCAGCCGCGGUAAUUC